UACGGAGAGGGCAAGCGUUGUUCGGAAUCACUGGGCAUAAAGGGCACGUAGGCGGAUCAGAAAGUCGGUUGUGAAAGCCCGGGGCUCAACCCCGGAACUGCUUCCGAAACUUCUGGUCUAGAGGGUGAGAGGGGAGAGUGGAACUUCUGGUGGAGCGGUGAAAUGCGUAGAGAUCAGAAGGAACACCGGUGGCGAAAGCG
rnacentral:rRNA from 1 species